AGAGUUUGUUCCUGGCUCAGGACGAACGCUGGCGGCGUGCCUAAUACAUGCAAGUAGAACGCUGAAGAGAGGAGCUUGCUCUUCUUGGAUGAGUUGCGAACGGGUGAGUAACGCGUAGGUAACCUGCCUUGUAGCGGGGGAUAACUAUUGGAAACGAUAGCUAAUACCGCAUAACAAUGGAUGACACAUGUCAUUUAUUUGAAAGGGGCAAUUGCUCCACUACAAGAUGGACCUGCGUUGUAUUAGCUAGUAGGUGAGGUAACGGCUCACCUAGGCGACGAUACAUAGCCGACCUGAGAGGGUGAUCGGCCACACUGGGACUGAGACACGGCCCAGACUCCUACGGGAGGCAGCAGUAGGGAAUCUUCGGCAAUGGGGGCAACCCUGACCGAGCAACGCCGCGUGAGUGAAGAAGGUUUUCGGAUCGUAAAGCUCUGUUGUAAGUCAAGAACGAGUGUGAGAGUGGAAAGUUCACACUGUGACGGUAGCUUACCAGAAAGGGACGGCUAACUACGUGCCAGCAGCCGCGGUAAUACGUAGGUCCCGAGCGUUGUCCGGAUUUAUUGGGCGUAAAGCGAGCGCAGGCGGUUUGAUAAGUCUGAAGUUAAAGGCUGUGGCUCAACCAUAGUUCGCUUUGGAAACUGUCAAACUUGAGUGCAGAAGGGGAGAGUGGAAUUCCAUGUGUAGCGGUGAAAUGCGUAGAUAUAUGGAGGAACACCGGUGGCGAAAGCGGCUCUCUGGUCUGUAACUGACGCUGAGGCUCGAAAGCGUGGGGAGCGAACAGGAUUAGAUACCCUGGUAGUCCACGCCGUAAACGAUGAGUGCUAGGUGUUGGAUCCUUUCCCGGAUUUCAGUCCCGCAGCUAACGCAUUAAGCACUCCGCCUGGGGAGUACGACCGCAAGGUUGAAACUCAAAGGAAUUGACGGGGGCCCGCACAAGCAGUGGAGUAUGUGGUUUAAUUCGAAGCAACGCGAAGAACCUUACCUGGGCUUGACAUCCCUGGAAUCGAGUAGAGAUACUUGAGUGCCUUCGGGAAUCAGGUGACAGGUGGUGCAUGGUUGUCGUCAGCUCGUGUCGUGAGAUGUUGGGUUAAGUCCCGCAACGAGCGCAACCCCUAUUGUCAGUUGCCAUCAUUAAGUUGGGCACUCUGGCGAGACUGCCGGUGACAAAUCGGAGGAAGGUGGGGACGACGUCAAAUCAUCAUGCCCCUUAUGCCCAGGGCUACACACGUACUACAAUGGCCGAUAACAAAGUGCAGCGAAACCGUGAGGUGGAGCGAAUCACAAAACUCGGUCUCAGUUCAGAUUGCAGGCUGCAACUCGCCUGCAUGAAGUUGGAAUUGCUAGUAAUCGCGGAUCAGAAUGCCGCGGUGAAUACGAUCCCGGGCCUUGCACACACCGCCCGUCA
rnacentral:rRNA from 1 species